UGAUCUAAACGAGGCAAUUCAGCCAAUAACCAACGAAUACUCACGUCAUCGAGAAACUUGAUCAAUUUUCUACACGUCUGAUGCUUCAAAUUCUCCUCUAUGAACGUAUCCAGCUCGUUCUUCUCAUCCUUCCUCGGUUUCGCCUUUAAAGGUAUAAAAUAAAUGAAAAGGAAACUUUCAAGGAAAGCAAUCAACGUCAUUCCAUCUUUGAUAACUUCCUUGAAGAGCAGAUUCAUUUCUUCUGGAGCUCCAUCCUCUUCGAACAUCCCCAAACCUAUAGCCAGGUUUUCCUGUUUCAUAGUCUCCGCCUGUAUAGCCAAAGUAUCCUCUACCUUAUCUCUGAUUGAUGAACAAUGACAAAUGAAGAAUCAAAUAAAGAGCAACUCGUUUGCACAACAAGGUACAACAAUAUUUAAGAGAGAAAAAAAAAACGAUCUUCCCGUCUGCAGAUACUCUGAUAGAGUGAAGCUAGUUUCGAGCGACCUACGCUCUAUUAAAGCUUUUGUUGCAACCAAGAUGCAGUUUCGAUGCUCAUCUCCUAUAUUUUCGCUAAAAACUUUAUUAUUGAAAUGGAAUUCAUCAUAGCUGAUUGAAAACAAAUGUUCGAAUCCACACUUCGUCGCUAUCUUCUGCGAAUAAUUGGAGGUCAUGAUUGCUGAUAUCACGUUAGGAUUUCCCUUUUUUAACUCCUCUACUAUCUUUAUCGAUGAAGUUACCAGCAGCUCUCCUAUCCUACACUUUUGAUUAGAAGGCAAAGUGGCCAAAAACAUGAUUUCAAAGAUACAAUCGGUGUUAUAGUGCUUGAACAAAUCUAUCCUGCUGUCUAUAUUUAUCAUGAAAUCUAUCAAGGCUUUUGAAGAUUUACACUUGCAAUUAUCCCUGAAUAUUUCAAAGGUACUUUUCUCUGAUGAAUUUUUGAGAAGCUGAAAAACGAAACAACAACACUAACCCCAUCCUUCGCUGCAUCAAAACAGAGUUCCUCAAGUUCUUUGCUUGCACCGGAUUCUGAGAGUAUCAUCGGUCAGAGACUCGAAGACGAUAGCCCCAUUGUUUAUGGAGUCCCAGAUACCAUAUGGUGAUGUUCUAUUUCACAUUUUGGAAUAAAAUCAAAUGUAAAUUUUUUUAAGAAUAACGAUAAAAAUUAAUGAUUAUAUAUUAAUAUGGUUAAUAUAUUCUUGUUAAAAUGAAAAUUUUAUCAAAAGAGAUAUUCUAAGUGGAAUUAAAUGAUUGAGAAUAUUUUAAAUAACAUUAAACAUUUUUUGUUAAAGUUUUCAAUUAAAAUAUAAAUAUUUAAUAUAAAUAAUAAAUAAA